rnacentral:rRNA from 1 species
AUGGUUGUGAAGGGAGACCAGAACACUGCAUUCUUCCAUAGCAAUGGAAAGAAAAGAAAGAAUACCAUCCACUCCUUUUCGUGUGGUGACACUGUGAUUGAAGGGACAGAUGAUUUGCUCAGACAUGCUACAGAUUACUAUAAAGAACUCUUCGGGCCAGCCCCGGGAAACAUUUUCCAUUUAGACCCUGACACUUAGGGGCAGGAUGAAAAACUAAUAGCUGAGGAAAAUGAGUUUUUAACCAGACCUUUUAGUGAAGAAGAAGUUAAGAAGGCCUUAUUCUCCAUGAAAAGCAAUAGAGCACCUGGCCCCGACAACAUUCCAGCAGAAUUCUAUCGACUCUGCUGGGAUAUUGUCAAACAGCAUAUUAUGAACCAGUUUGUUGCAUUUCAUGAAGGCUCCCUAGACGUUGAAAGACUGAAUUAUGGGGUGAUCACCCUAAUUCCAAAGGUCAAUGGGGCCAAAAAAUCCAAGAAUUCCGGCCAAUCUGUUUGUUGCGGUGCCCUUACAAGCUCAUUACCAAAGUGUUGGAUAAUCGAGUGGCGAUGUUUGCUGAUAAGCUCAUCAGCCGGCACCAAAACGCUUUUAUCAAAAAACGGAACAUUAUGGAUGGAAUACUAA